UGCUGUGAGUGCUCAGCCUUCUACCGGGCCCUGCCCGCUGCAAGGGGUCACCGAGGACCGGACUGGGGUUUGGGUGCAAAUCCACCCAGGGAGCGGCAGCCCAGGCUCCAAGGACAAACCCAAGGUCAGAAGAGCUCAUCUGGCAGUGCAGACUUGGAAGCCGCAGGUGGCAGGCUUUGGAUGACGGAGUAAGAGGUUCCUCACUGGUUUCCCACUAAAGACAAAAGAGGAAAUCACAAAAAUGCCCAUGUUCUACUAAGAUAUCUGGAAAGCAGGCAGAAAGUUCAACAAAACCAAGCUGACAGUUUUGUCUGAAAACCCAGCAGUAAAAGGACUGAGUAGAGCAGAGCAGGACCUGGUUUCCCUCUGAGCUAUUUUCUGAAAGUGGGCCAGGACCCAAAUUCACCUGCGCGCGGCUCGCGGGCAGCCAGCCCGGGGCACUGAGAGGCGGCUGGGGAAGCCUGGGCCGCACUAGGGUGAGCUUUGGGGCUCCAGGUGUGUGUAUGUGUGUGUUGAGGUGGUGGCACUUGGAGCCUCUACAGGCCCAGGGGAAAUGUUAGACCCCCAUUUCCUCCCCAGGCAGAUCAAGGAAGAUCAGAGGCCCUAGGACCUGCACACACUCUUAUCCUACCACCCGCCCCCGCAUGAACACCAUCUUUUCUGCACGGCUAAUCCUCCUGCUCACUUCACCCUCCUUCUCCCCUGAGGCAGA